UUUAUGGCCCCAGCCAGUGUAUUAUUUCCACCGGGGCCAUAAAUAUGUGCGCGCACUCCGCUCGGGUGUAGUCGUUCCGUUUUAUAAGAAUCAGAAUUCCGUUUGCUAACGCUGCCUUGUCCCUUGCCUGACUGCAUACCCGUUCCUUCCAUCAGCCCAGAAGAGACAGCGAGGAUCAUCUGUGGCUUAAAAAAAACACACCAAAUCGCAAAAUUGGAAACGAAGUCGCAUCAGGAAAGAGAAGGAAACACAACAAAAGCACACUGCAAACGACUGCAUACGGAUACGGGACACACACACGAAGCGAUGGAUAAACUGUAUUCGAGUUGAUUUGAUUUGAUUUACUAAACUAAACCGCACUAAACCGUAAAAGCCAUUUGCGAUGGCAGAGAGAAUUAGUAAUCGUUAGACUGCACUAACCAGAUCGUCGCCCGUGCCGCUGCAAGCCAUUCUCGAUCCUUUGAGCUGUACGAGAUGCGAUCUUGAUGUCGAGAUUUUGCUCUCCUGCUUACGAUCACUCUCCGUGCGUGAUCGAUAUCGAGCAGUCUGUUUGUGCGCAUUUUUCAGUCUCUCUUGUGGCCCUCCAGCAUCCAGCAGAGGUUGAUCGAUCUCCAGAGAGGAGUCGAUCUUUGUUUUCGCAGCAAACUAGUGAGCUCUCUGUCUUGCGCAAGUCUCAUGAUCACUGGCUGCUCAUUCUCUUGCUCACUCGCACACACACGUUCCAUCGGAUCGAGCGCGAUCGUUCGAGUUUGGAUGUUAUUAAGGGGUUUAUAAACGAAUUAAAAGCCUUCUGCUCCGCGCUGGAGACCCCGAACGGCACUGGCCAAGCCCUGCAUACUCACACUCCUUGGGAUUGCACACGGUUAGGAACGGAAGGAGAAGGGGAGGGCAUUAAUUCCCGAUCCUUUGGUGCACGAGGACGGCGGCAAG